rnacentral:rRNA from 1 species
AACGAACGCUGGCGGCAUGCCUAACACAUGCAAGUCGAACGGACCCUUCGGGGUUAGUGGCGCACGGGUGCGUAACGCGUGGGAAUCUGCCCUUGGGUACGGAAUAACUCUCCGAAAGGAGUGCUAAUAUCGUAUGCCGUCUUCUGCCCAAAGAUUUACGGCCUGAGGAUGAGCCCGCGUAGGAUUAGCUAGUUGGUGAGGUAAAGGCUCACCAAGGCGACGAUCCUUAGCUGGUCUGGGAGGAUGAUCAGCCACACUGGGAAUGAGACCCUGCCACGACUCCUGCGGGAGGCAGCAGUGGGGAAUAUGGGACAAUGGGGGCAACCCGGAGCCAGCAAGGCCGCGUGAGGGAUGAAGGCGUUAGGGUUGUAAAGCUCUUUUACCCGGGAAGAUAAUGGCUGUACCGGGGGAAUAAGCCCCGGGUAACUACGUGCCAGCCGCAGCGGUAAAAC